rnacentral:rRNA from 1 species
AGCAGCCGCGGUAAUUCCAGCUCCAAUAGCGUAUAUUAAAGUUGUUGCAGUUAAAAAGCUCGUAGUUGAAUUUCGGGAUCAGAGUGUCGGUCGUGCCUCGGUACGCACUGGUAUUAUUGGUUCCUACCUUCUGAAGAACCGCGAUGUCAUUAAUUUGGUGUCGUGGGGAAUCAGGACUGUUACUUUGAAAAAAUUAGAGUGUUUAAAGCAGGCUUACGCUUGAAUACAUUAGCAUGGAAUAAUGAAAUAGGACGUUUGAUUCUAUUUUGUUGGUUUUUCUAGGAUUGACGUAAUGAUUAAUAGGGAUAGUUGGGGGCAUUAGUAUUCAAUUGUCAGAGGUGAAAUUCUUGGAUUUAUUGAAGACUAACUACUGCGAAAGCAUUUGCCAAGGAUGUUUUCAUUAAUCAAGAACGAAAGUUAGGGGAUCGAAGACGAUCAGAUACCGUCGUAGUCUUAACCAUAAACUAUGCCGACUAGGGAUCGGAUGAUGUUAAUUUUUUAAUGACUCAUUCGGCGCCUUACG